AUACGGAGGGUGCAAGCGUUAUCCGGAAUCAUUGGGUUUAAAGGGUCCGUAGGCGGACUAUUAAGUCAGAGGUGAAAUCCCACAGCUCAACUGUGGAACUGCCUUUGAUACUGGUAGUCUUGAGUUAUAUGGAAGUAGAUAGAAUGUGUAGUGUAGCGGUGAAAUGCAUAGAUAUUACACAGAAUACCGAUUGCGAAGGCAGUCUACUACGUAUAUACUGACGCUAAGGGACGAAAGCGUGGGGAGCGAACAGGAUUAGAUACCCUAGUAGUCC
rnacentral:rRNA from 1 species